AAGAAGAAAUGGCCACGAAAAGGGUUCUACUACCAUGCAUAUUGGGUGGUAAAUUAUCAGGACACAAAGGCAUUGAACGUCAGAUUGACCAGACUGUGCACAGAUGCAGCAAGGGCAUUAGCUGGUCCUAUUUCACAAGAGUACAAAUUAAGAGCAGACGAACUGCUCAUUUACGCGUGCAUGAAUUCGAAGACAGAUUUUCAUUCGAUUCGACAGGAGCGGUUGGGAAUUUAGGCAGGGAUCGUAUUAAGAAAUCGGUAAAGUACAAUCUUCAAUCUCACUGUUGCGUGAAGAAAUAGGUUGAGUAUUUUGUUUAUUCAAGUCAAGGGAGAUAAAAUUUCGUAACGAAUUGUUGUCAUCGAAAAUAUGAAUAUCUUAUUGUUUUAUCUGAAAAAGAAAAGAGAGAUUGUUGUCUAAUAUGAAAAUCAUGAUCUUUCAAUUAUUUUACCUCGGAUUUAUUAUUUUGUUUUCAAUAAGGCAGAAAUUUCUCAAUCAAAUGUAUUAUCUUCAAAUACUAUUCAUGCCUAUUUAUAUCCCACUGGAUCUAAAUUCAAAUUUUACUCCAAUAAAAAUAUUAAAUCCACUUUUUGUCUCAUGUGUAUAUAAAAAAAAAUGUAAUUUUGCAUUUAUUUUGCUGAAAAAUACAAUUUGUAUUUCUUUGCAUCUCUCCAUUGGAGAUGUUUUCGACCAUUUUGGAGAUCUAAAUCACAAUAUAGAUCUAUUUACAUUACAAUUAAGAUGCUCGCUGUAGAGAAAUAAUUUUCUAUGUAUAUCAAUUUUGUUAAAGAGAUGUAUAAAAAUCAUUUAUAUUGUGAAAUUCAGUGAUAGCAAUACUAGCUAGGAAAUUUCCAAAUCAGAAUAGUUUUGCCCUUGCCAAUCAAGGAUCCACUCCAAUUUUGAUUUAUACUUUGAUGAAUAAAAUUAUUAUUGGAGUUUUCUCUUAAAAGGUCAAUCUGUGUAAAAAGAAUUAUCUAUACCUUUAUAUUUUGGACAUUCUUUUCAUUUUCGGGCGGAGCAAAAUCUUUCCCAUGACAUUGUCCUAAUUAUGGCAGCUUAUUUAAGAACGCAAAUAUUGAAAGACAAUAAAUUCGUUUAAGCUUCAGCUGCAUCGAAUUAUUAUUAUUAUUAUUAUUAUUGUUGUUGUUGUUGUUUAUUUUUUUAAUUUUUUUUAUGGAUUCUAAUGUUAUAUAACAUCUACGUUGAAGUUGUUCCAUCUCUGUUGUGGAUGAGGUUAGUAUUCAAUUAAAUAGGUGUGAGAGAAAACCCUACCCCAUGAGCUAGCUUUUAGUGUGAAAGGGCUCAAUACCACCCAACACUGUGUUGGGUAAUUGCCUCAAAAACCAAAAUUUGGAGGACUUCUAUUGUAAAUAAUAAAGAUAAUGAUUGUAUGAAAGACUUCUAAUUAAUGUUGAGAGCAGGAUCCUUAUAGUGUUUGGUCUCCAAUUUACAGCAGGUUUUGGAGUCUUGUACAUGAAGAAGUCCUUGUUUGAGUUGGAAUUAAACUCUUCCACUUGGUUAUUGAUCCUAUAAAUAGUGGACAUAUUUCAUUAUUUUGGGUAUGGCUAGAGAGUUGAUCUCAGAGAAAAAUAUUGUGGGUCAGCAUCUUGAGACUUUUCGUAGAUUUGGUAGAAAAGUAGGUGUGGUAAAACUCGAAUUUAUUUUUCUUUGUAAUACUUGGGGAUUGGGUUAGUGAGUGAAAUUCUAUAUGAUUGUGACAAUUUUCAUAUAGUGAAAAACUUUGAAAGUCCGUUUAAUUUGUGCAUUAUAUUUUUUAUUUUUCCUGUUUGCUAAUAUUUUUUUGAACAACAAAAGAUUCUGCGGGUAAAUGAAAAUAAAGGGAAUUGGCGUAAAAUUCCCAAGAGGUAUUAUCAAAGCGUCAGGUGGUUCGAAGUAUUGGAGCAAUAGAAAAAAAGUCGUUGAAAUACGAGGUUGAGAAAUUUGAUGGAAGAUUCACUCUUGGCUUGUAGCAAGUACAAGUUAGGGAUUUAUUGAUUAAAGUUGGACUAUACCAGGCUUGAAAGGAAAAUCAUUCAAGAGUUCUGACAAGGAAACUGAAUCAUGUAUGAGUGAUGAGGACCGGUAAAAAUUGGAUUUGAAGGCUACUAGUAUGAUAUGUCUCUCUUUCGCUAAAAACGUUCUUGCAAAUAUUCAUAGAAUAUCUGCUGCGAAGGAAUUGUGGGAGAAGUUAGAAGAAUUAUAUCAAAUGAAGAGCCUCUCAAAUUGGCUUUACUUGAUGGAGCAAUUUCAUUUAUUGCACAGGUACGAAAAUCACAGACCAUCUAAGUGUUCUCAAUGGCAUUGUUUCAUAACUGGAUGCUAUUCGAGUGAAGAUAGAUGAUGAGGAUAAGAUACUACGGCUCAUCUGAUCUUUUUCGUCUGAUUACGAACAUAUCAAACCAAUCUGAUGUAUGGGAAGGAAACUCUGAGUUUCGUAGAAGUGACAAGCAACUUGAUCUUAGAAGAAAGAAGAUUAGGGAGACAGAUACUUCAUCUAACAAUACGGUGCUUGUGACUGAAAAGGGGAAAAAUGCUAGCUCCAUGAGGAAGAAAGUAACUUCUUGGAACUGUGAUCAGACUGGUUAUGUGAAGAGAAAUUGUCCAAAAGGUAGAACAGGAUCGGCUAACUACUUGAAGUCAGACAAUGUGUCUUUCUUGGCGGAGGAGGACACAGAUGAGGCGCUGUAAAGGAAGACGGGAACAUCCUCGUGACAUGUCACUAAUUGCCACGAUAGAUGAUGUGUUCUGACUGGCAUGGGUCAGCAUAUCUACAGAUAGCAUUGACUGACAUGUGAUGCAAUGUUUGUAGGUAUGUCAUGGUUUUGUGAUGUCGAUGGCUGAUGAGAUCUUUGGUGGGAGAGUUGCACCAUAACUAUCAGCAGUGCUGUUUCGACAUGUAAUAGAUGAAAUGCUCGAAGUUUGCAGAUAGUUUUGAGUGGUCGUACUCAUAUUUUUGAGUAUGAGACCGUCAAAGUGUGUCAAAGGCUUAUAUAUUUUUUCGAAGUAUUGUAAAUAAAAGUUGAAGAAGAGAUGAUGAGAUUUUGACUCGUUUUCAACAAGGUGGAGAUUGUUGGGUAAUUACCUCAAAAUUCAAAAGUUUGAGGACUUUUAUUGCAUUUAAUAAGAGAUAAUGAUUGUAUGGAGGACUUCAAAUUAAUGUUGAGAGUAGAAUCCCUGCAGUACUUGGUCUCCAAUUAACAUUAGGUUUUGGAAUUAUGCACAUGAAGGAGUCAUUGUUUAAAUUGAAAUUAAACUCUUCCGCUUGGUUAUUGAUCCUAUAAAUAGUGGAUGUAUUUCAUUAUUUUGGGUGUGGCCAAAGAGUUGAUUCGAGAAAAAAAUAUUGUGAACCUAGCAUUUUGAGACUUUUCGUACAUUGGAUAGAAAAGUAGGUAUGGUAAAACUCGAGUUUUAUUUUUCUUUGUAAUACUUGGGGAUUGGGUUGGUGAGUAAAAUUAUAUAUGGUUGUAACAAUUUUCAUAUAGUGAAAAGCUUUGAUGAUCUGCUCAAUUUGUGCGUUAUAUUUUUUAUUUUUCCUAUUUGCUAAUCUUUUCUUGAACAACAAAAGAUUUUGCGGGUAAAUAAAAAUAAAGGAAAUUGACGUUAAAUUUCCAAAAAGUGGUAUUAGAGCGUCAGGUGGUUCGGAAUAUUGGAGCAACUUAAAAAUAAGUCGUCGUUGAAAUAUGAGGUUGAGAAAUUUGACAGGAGAUUCAAUUUUGGGUUGUGGCAUGUACAAGUUAAGGAUUUAUCGUUUCAAGCUAGAAUUCACUAGGCUUUGAAAGGAAAACCAACCAAGAAUUUCGACAAGGAAGCUGAAUCUAGUGUGAGCGAUGAGGACGUGGAAAAAUUGGAUUUGAAGGUUGCUUGCAUGAUACAUCUCUGUUUGGCUAAAACAGUUCUUGCAAAUAUUCAUAGAAUAUCUGUUGUAAAGGAACCACGAGAGAACUUAAAUCGAUUGUAUCUUAUGGAGAAAUUUUGUUUGUUGCGUAAAGAGGCAUGUACGAAAAUCUCAGACCAUCGAGUGUUCUAAACGAGAUUAUUUCAGAACUCAAGGCUUUUGGAGUGAGGAUAGAUACUGAGGAUAAGGUACUAUGGCUCAUCUGGUCGUUUUCGUCUAACUAUGAACAUAUCAAACCAAUCUUGAUGUGUAGAAAAGAAUCUGUGGGUUUCGCAAGUGACAAGCAACUUGAUCUUAAAAGAAAGAAGAUUAUGGGGACACAAUACUCCAUCUGACAAUGUGAUGCUUAUGACUGAAAAGGGAAAAAAUGACAACUCCACGAGGAAGAGAGUAACUUGUUGGAAAUGAAGUCAGACUGGCCACAUAAAGAAAAACUGUCCAAAAGGUGGAGUAGGUCGGCUAACUGCUUGGGGUCAGACUAUGCAUCUAUCAUGGCAGAGGAGGAUGCGGAUGAGGUGCUGUAAAGUAAGAUGGGAGCAUCCUCAUGGCAUGUCGCCAGUUGUCGUGAUAAAGCAUGUGUUCUUACUGGCACAGGUUAGCAUAUCUGCACAUAGCAUUGACUGACAUUUGAUGCAAUGUGUGUAGGUAUGUGGUGGUGUAGUGAUGUCGAUGGCUGAUGAGCUCUUUGAAAAAGUCCGUGGGGGGAGUUGCACCAUAACUGUCAUCAAGGCCGAUGAAAUUGUCAAAGCAUUUCUAAGUGGCUAGACUCAUAUGGUAGAGUAUGGGACCGUUAAAGUGUGUCAAAAGCUUACCUUUUUUUUCAAGUAUUGUGAUUAAAAGUUGUAGAAGAGAUGGCGAGAUUUCGAGUCGUUUUUGAGAAGAUGAAGAUUGUUGGGUAAUUGCCUUAAAACUCAAAAGUUGGAGGACUUCUAUUGCAAAUAAUAAAAGAUAAUGAUUGUACGGAAGACUUCUAAUUAAUGUUGAGAGCAGAAUUCUUGUAGUACUUGGUCUCCAAUUUACAACAGGUUUUGGAGUCUUGCACAUGAAGGAGUCCUUGUUUGAGUUGAAAUUAAACCCUUCCACUUGGUUAUUGAUGCUAUAAAUAAUGGACAUAUUUUAUUAUUUUGGGUGUGGCUAGAGAAUUGAUAUUAGAGAAAAACAUUGGGUAAAGAAGUAGAUGUAGUAAAGCUCGAGUUUAUUUUUCUUUGUAAUACUUGAGGAUUGGAUUGGUGAGUGAAAUUAUAUAUGGUUGUAACAAUUUUGAUAUAGUGAAAAGUUUUGAUGGUCUAUUUAAUUUGUGCAUUAUAUUCUUUAUUUUUCCUGUUUGCUAAUAUUCUUUUGAACAAUAAAAGAUCCAGUGGGUAAAUAGAAAUAAAGGAAAUUUGCAUAAAAUUUCCAAAACACUAGUAUCAGAGCCCAAUUUAUCAACAAGUCUCAGGCCUAACAGUUACGGAGAUACAUGCUUGUUUGAGGGGGAGAUUGAUUCGGUAUCCUGUAGGCCCCGUUGUAUGAGGGGGGAGACAGGUUCAGUCUCUCACAAAGUACGAUGUAUGGGAAAAGACGUGUUUGAUCUCCCGCAAAGCCCGAUGUGUGAGGGAGAGAUUAUUGAGGUUGUCCCACAUCGGUUGUGGAUGACGUUAGUACUCAAUUUAUAAGUAUGAGGAAAAGCCUCAUCUCUUGAGCAAGCUUUUGGAGUGAAAGAGACCAAUACCACCCAACAAUCAAAGUUCCAUAUUAAAAUAUUAACCUUGUUAAGAAGUCUAGUUCACGUACUUAUGUGUUGAUUAUUAAUUUUCUUAUUCAUAUUUAAGUGACAUCAGAUUUUCCCCUUUCCCACAAGAUGUAGUUCAUUUGAGAACAACAAAAAAAUCUUGAAAUUCAAUUUGACUUUUGGUGAGGCAGAUUUCAGAUUUGAGUUUAUUAAGCUCUGAUACCAUAUUAAAUCUUAAUAUCAAAUAGUAAGAGGUCAACUUUAUCGAGGAGGAUUUAAUUAUAUUCUUAUAAGUUGAAUAUAGUUUUCAUAUUUGAUUCAUGUUAAAUUUCAUCUUUAACAAUAAGCUUAUAAAUUAUAUUCAUUGUAAUGUUUUUUAUAAUAUAUCUGGAAGCACAUAUCGGAUUCGUUCAUAUAUAUGAUUGCCUUCAAUGCAUUAUCAUCAUCUGCUCCUUAGUUUGCCUAAGAAUUAAUUGACCCUUCUACAAAUCUAUCAUAGCUCGAUUAGUAACCAUAAAUGGACGUUCCAAAAUAAAUAAAACAUCAUUUUCCUCUUCCAUGCCCAAGAUGAUGAAAUCAGUUGGGAAGAUGAACUUUUCUACCUUUACAAAGAUGUCCUCGGUUAUUCCUUGAGGGUGUUUGAUCGACCAACCAAUAGAGCUACAUAUUGUCGUGAUGCGAAUCCCGUAGCGAUGGAAACUACGAAACCCACAACGAGAUUGAUGCGGAACCCAAGAACGUCAAUACUAACUCGAUUUUGGAUCUUGAACCUCAAGAAUUGAACCAAGAAACCCUAGAUUAGCGAAGAACCUAAAACCUCUUGAUUACAAUUAAAAGAACCCACAAUCCGAUUGUUUAGAACGCCACAAGAAAUUGAAUUUUGAUAAUUCCAAGAUUGUUCAAGAAGAACAAGAAAUUGAAAGAACAAAUUCUCUCUCUAUAAUAUUAUUCAAGCAAAAUUCAUUACAAUGAAAAAUAUUUUCUUAUUUAUACUAAUGAGUAAAAAAAUGUCCAAAACCCAUCAAAUUAUGGUAAUAAUUUGAUUUCAUAAGAAUUCUAUCGAAACUAGAAAAUUCGGAAAAAAAAUAAAAAAAAAUAUUUUUUUUUCAUGUUUUUGUUCUAUGCGGCCGCAUAGAACAAGUCUCUGUCCCCAAUAUUAUCCCUGAGGCUAUCUAUGCGACCGCAUAGGUUGUUUAACUAUGUAGUCGCAUGGAACAAUCUUCGGCUUCAUUUUCUUCCGUUUUUAUCACGUUGAUCCAAGUCCUUUUGGCCCUCGACUCCAACAUGAAACUUACUCCAUUUUGAGCCCCGAACAUUGUAUCUUCAUUGACUUGCUUGACGAGCAAUCCCAUCGCUUCUUUCACUUGCUUCAUCCUUGAUUGCAUCAUGGGUCCACCUUCGACGAUCAACGGAUCCAUCUCGUGACUUGACGCUUGAGUUGUCUUGGUUGUUGACGUGCCUUGAUUCAUAUCAUCCCCUCCCUCUUCGAAAGAAUUUGUCCUUGAAUCUGAACCUGCAUCGAAAAGAGAAAGAUCAGCGACAUUAAAAGUAGCUGAAACAUUAUACUCACCAGGUAAAUCCACUUUGUAUGCAUUGUCAUUAAUCCUCUCGAUGAUUUGAAACGGUCCAUCGCCUUGUGGUUGCAAUUUUGACUUCAUCUGUUCUGGAAAACGCUCUUUUCUGAAAUGCACCCAGACCCAAUCUCCAUGCUCAAAUGUAAUGCGUCUUCUUCCUUUAUUUGCUUUUGAUGCAAUCAGCUUUCCUUUCUCUUCGAUCUGCAUCCUGACCUUUUCAUGGAGCGUUUUCACCAUCUCAGAUUUUCACUUACCAUCCAAGCUAUCUCGUUCAUGCACAGGCAAAGCCAUUAAAUCCAUAGGUUUAGUGGAUUAAAACCAUAAACAAUUUCAAAAGGAGAAAAUGAAGUAAUAGAAUGUGUAGCUCGAUUUUAUGCAAACUCUAUAAACGGUAAACACUCUUCCCAUGAUUUCAGAUUUUUAUUGAUCGCUGUCCUAAGUAGUUGAGUCAUAGUUCGAUUAACUACCUCAGUUUGUCCAUCUGUUUGUGGGUGAUAAGUUGUAGAAAAUAAUAAUUUAGUUCCUAACUUACUCCACAGAACACGCCAAAAAUGACUCAAAAACUUCAUGUCCCUAUCAAACACUAUACUUUUAGGCACUUCAUGUAAACGUACUAUUUCUCUAAAAAAUAAGUUUGCAAUAUUAGUAGCAUCGUCAGUUUUAUGACAUGGUAUGAAGUGCGCCAUCUUACUAAACCUAUCGACCACUACAAAUAUUGAAUCUCGACCUCUUUUUGUCCUAGGCAAACCUAACACAAAGUCCAUAGAUAUGUCUACCCAAGGUUCACUAGGUACAGGCAUAGGAGUAUACAAACAAAGGGGUUGAACCUUAGACUUAGCCUUUUUACAAGUUAUGCACUUUCCACACAUUUGUUCUACGUCAUGUCGCAUUUUAGGCCAAUAAAAAUGUUACCCUAACAUGUCUAAAGUCUUUUGAACCCUAAAGUGUCCCAUUAAACCACCCUCAUGUGCUUCCCUUACCAAUAAUUCACGCAAAGAACAAUUAGGAAUGCACAACUUAUCUUCCCUAAACAAAUAUCCUUCAUGCCUAUAGAAUUUAUCAAAUGCACCUUUGUCACAUGAAGCAUAAAUACUAGAAAAAUCACAAUCAGAUUCAUACAUGCCCUUAAUAUGUUUGAAACCAAGUAAUUUAGUACUUAAUGAAUUUAAAAGCACGUACCUUCGAGACAACGCAUCAGCAACUAUAUUUUCAUUACCUUGUUUGUACUUGAUGACGUAGUGAAAUGUCUCAAUAAACUCCAUCCAUCUCGUAUAUCUUUUGUUCAAUUUACCUUGACCUCGCAAAUGCUAUAAAGAUCCAUGAUCGAUGUGUAUCACGAAUUCCUUUGGCCAUAAGUAGUGCUGCCAAGUCUCCAAUACUCAAACAAGUGAAUACAGCUCCUUGUCAUAUGUCGGAUAAUUCAAUGCUGCCCCACUCAACUUUUCGCUCAAGUAAGCAAUAGGUCUCCUUUCCUGCAUUAACACUGCUCCUAUACCUAUUCCUGAUGCAUCACACUCAACCUCGAAUGUUUUAUCAAAAUUUGGUAAUGCCAAAACAGGUGCUUUACAUAGCUUAUCCUUAAUUGUGUUAAAUGCAAUUUUUUGAGAUUCUCCUCAAUGGAAACCUACAUUUUUCUUUACUAUUUCAGUCAACGGUGUAGUGAUGGUGCUAAAAUCUCUUACAAAUCGCCUAUAAAAACUUGCCAAUCCAUGAAAACUCCUAACUUCAGUUAUAGUCUUAGGUGUUGGCCAUUCUUUUAUAGCUUUUAUCUUUUCUUCAUCGACUUCCACGCCGUUAGCACUAACCACAAAUCCUAAGAAAACAACUCUAUCCAUGCAAAAUGUGCAGUUUUUGAAAUUAGCAUACAGUUGUUGCUUUCGCAGCACAACAAGCACACAAUUUAAAUGUUUUAAAUGCUCAUCUAGGUUUUAAAUGCUCAUCUAGGUUUUUACUAUAGAUUAAGAUGUCCUCAAAAUAAACUACAACAAAUUUCCCAAUAAAAGCAUGCAAAACAUGGUUCAUUAAACGCAUAAAAGUGCUCGGUGCAUUAGUGAGUCCAAACGGCAUAACUAACCAUUCAUACAAUCCAUACUUAGUCUUAAACGCCGUUUUCCAUUCAUCACCCUCCCGCAUGCGAAUUUGAUGAUACCCACUCUUAAGAUCAAUCUUACUAAAAAUGCAAGCACCAUGCAACUCAUCAAGCAUAUCAUCUAGCCUAGGUAUUGGGUGACAAUACUUUAUCGUGAUAUUGUUGAUAGCUCGACAAUCCACGCACAUUCUCCAAGUCCCGUCCUUUUUAGGCACUAGCAAAAUAGGUACAUCACAUGGACUCAUGCUAUCCCUGACAUAACCUUUGCUCAUCAACUCCUCCACUUGCUUUUGAAGCUCCUUCGUCUCCUCGGGAUUGCUUCGGUAAGCUGGUCGAUUCGGCAUGACAGCUCCGAGUACAAAGUCAAUCUGGUGCUCGAUGCCUCUGAUUGGUGGCAAUCCACUUGGCAUCUCCUCAUGAAACACAUCGUCGAACUCCUACAAUAAAGACUUAACCAAACUAGGGAGGGAUGUGUUAGAAUCCUCAAAAUUGAGGAGGGACUCCUAGUACACUAACAAUAUCAUUUGCCUAUUAUCGCUCAUAUCCUUUUUCAACUCACUCUCUUUUGCAUAAAAGUUGACCUUUGGCUUUUCUCUCCGCUCAGCUGACUCUUUUUCUCUCCUCUCAACUGACUCCUUUUCUCUCCGCUCAUGUGACUUCUCUCUCUUUUCUCCACUCUCAGCCACCUCACUAUUUUCUCUCUUAUUGAUGGUUUCACUAUUGCCUUUCCUUUUUUCUGACUCUCUUAUUCUCUCGUCUUCCUCACUUUUCAGCUUGAUUUGAUCUCCAUACACUUGUGCCGGUGUUAAUGGCGCAAGAGUAAUAGUCUUCCCAUCCUUGACAAAGCUAUAACGAUUCCUAUAUCCAUCAUGUAUGACCCUUCUAUCAUAUUGCCAUGGUCUUUCUAACAAGAUAUGACCCACAUGCACAUCAUAUACUACUUUGUCACUAUAACUCCAAAUUGAGAAAUUAAUUAAAACUCUUCUGUUCACCCUAACUUCCCCACUUUCAUUCAACCAUUGCAACUUAUAAGGCCUAGGGUGUCUUAACAAUGCUAGUCCUAAUUUCUCAACUAAAGUUGUGCUAGCUACAUUCGUGCAACUCCCACCAUCAAUAAUCAUACUACAUACCUUAUCGUUGACGUAACAACGUAUGUGAAAUAUAUUUUCUCACUGCUGCUAAAUCAUCCACUUUGAUUUGAGUGUUAAGAGCUCUCCUUGACACCAAUGAUUCCCCAACAGCAAACUCCAAUUUUUCUUCUUCUUCAACGUCCUCCAAUGCAGGCAUGUCCUCAAACUCUCCUUCACUUUCACUCACCACCUCUACAUUAUCCAACAACACCGUUACCCGUUUAUUUGGGCAUUGAGAAGCAAUGUGCCCUAACCCCAAGCAUCUGAAACACUUGAUGUCUUGAUUCCCUGAUGGUUGUGAAUCUAUUUGGGUGCUGUUUUGCUAGUACUUUCUUUCCCUUUCUGCCACUUAUUCCUACCUUUAGGUACAUAUUUAUCACCUUUGUUGUUGUUCCACCCUGACUUCCAAGAUGGAUUAACACUCAAAGUUCCUAACGGCUGCCUAGCUGCCGCUUUCCUCUUCAGUUGUCUCUCUACCUUCAUAGCCACAUGCAACAUGUCUUCCAACUCUACAUAAUGUUGCAACUCCACUACAUUGGCAGUUUUCCUAUUCAACCCAUUCAAGAAUCGUGCCAUGGUAGCCUCCUGAUCCUCCACCACAUUCGCCCUAAUCAUGAGUAUUUCCAUCUCCUUAUGAUAGUCCUCUACACUUUUCGACCCUUGAUAUAAACCUUGCAGUUUUUUAUGGAUCUCUCGGUAAUAGUGGCUAGGAACAAACCUCUUUCUCAUCAAUGACUUCAAUUCCUCCCAAGUGCUGAUUGGUCUUCCCCCACUCCUACGUUGUGAAGUAACCACUUGAUCCCACCAUGAAAUUGCAUAGUCACUGAACUCCAAGACUGCUAACUUCACAUUUUUCUCCUUCGAGUAGUUAUAACACUCGAAGAUCAUUUUAACCUUCCUUUCCCAGUCUAGGUGUGCCUCGGGAUCACUCCUUCCUUUGAAUGAAGGAACUGUCAUUUUUAUAUUUCUCAAGUUUCCUUCCAACUCCUAACCGCGAUCAUUCCGACCCCGUCUGUCGAACCUAUCGCCUCUAUUCUUCAUCCUUCCCAUCUCAACACUGUAAAAUUCAUCUUUGCCCAUGUCACUCCCAUAUCCAUACUCCUCUCGCCUUUUUCUCCUAGGCUCCCAUCUAUUCAGUCAUCUGGCAUUGGAUACAUCCACUCGAUGCCCCCGACUAAGAUUAGCCACCGAUGUAUCUAAUCUAUUCAUCCAAACCUCAUGCUUCUCCAACCUAUCUCUCACAUCUCCAAACGCCCUCUCAAACCUCUGCACCAAAUCCUCCAAUGCAUUGUUAUUAUUGCCUUGUCGGUUUGAGUUUGAUUCUGCCCUUUCUGACAUCCUAACACUAAAAAUUUUAUUUUACUGCCUCACCAAAAGUCACUCGGAAACACACAAGGGCUUUUACCCUCUAUUAAGCUCACCUCUUUGCCUUUUACCACUCAGUUCUUUCAACAAUUGCUUCUAGUAACAAUCAAUGAACUCAAUCAAUCAAUCAAAUCGUGUAGAAUUCCACAAAUCGGAUGUGACUCAAUAUUUGUAACAAAGGACUCAAAGAAAACUUUUAAAACUUGACUUGAAUUGAAGGAAUGGAAUGAUCCAAUGUGUCCAAGUAAUUUAGAAAUGAUAUUGAAUAAUAAAAGUUGGUAUUUGGUGGAUUAAUAAUAUUUAACAAAUUUUUUUACUGUACGGAUGAACAAUAAUUUUUUUUAGAUCCGGAAAUUAAUAACAAAACCAACGAAGAAAACGAAAACUGAUUUGCGCGAAAAUUGAGCCCAGAAAAGGAAUUUGAAGAUUUUUGAUGAAACUUUUGGAUCAAAGGAUCAAGAAAACCUUCUGGGCACAAGGAAUUGAAAAAAAAUUAGAAAACAAAGGAUAUAACCUAAUUAAAUUGGAGCAAAAGCUCUGAUACCAACUGAUGUGAACCCCGUAGCAAUGGAAACUACGAAACCCACAACGAGAUUGAUGUGGAACCUAAGAACGCCAAUACUAACUUGGUUUUGGAUCUUGAACCCCGAGAAUUGAACCAAGAAACCCUAGAUUAGAAAAAAACCUAAAACCCCUUGAUUACAAUUAAAAGAACCCACAAUCCGAUUGUUUAGAAUGUCACAAGAAAUUGAAUCUUGAUAAGUUCCAAGAUUGUUCAAGAAGAACAAGAAAUUGAAAGAACAAAUUCUCUCGCUAUGAUAUUAUUCAAGCAAAAGUCCUUACAAUGAAAAAUAUUUUCCUAUUUAUACUAAUGGGUAAAAAAAGGUCCGAAACCCAUCAAAUUGUGGUAAUAAUUUGAUUUCAUAAGAAUUCUAUCGAAACUAGGAAAUUCGGGAAAAAAACGAAUUUUUUUUCAUGUUUUUGUUCUAUGUGGCCGCAUAAUGUUAAUCUAUGCGAUCGCAUAUAAUAAGUCUAACACUAUGCGGCCGCAUAGAACAAGUCCCUACCCCCAAUAUUAUUCCUGAGGCCAUCUAUACAGCCGCAUAGGUUGUUUAACCAUGCGGUUGCAUGGAACAAUCUUCGGCUUCAUUUUCUUCCGUCUUUAUCACGUUGAUCCAAGUCCUUUUGGUCCUCGACUCCAACAUGAAACUUGCUCCAUUUUACGCCUCGAACAUUGUGUCUUCAUUGACUUGCUUGACGACCAAUCUCAUCGCUUCUUUCACUUGCUUCAUCCUCGAUCGCGUCAUCGGUCCACCUUCGACGAUCAACGGAUCCUUCUCGUGACUUGAUGCUUGAGUUGUCUUGGUUGUUGACGCACCUUGAUUCAUAUCAUGUUAUGGCCUUUGCUUCUUCCAAACCUAAUAUCCUGUACACAAAAGCUCUUGGAGUCAAGUUCCCUAAAUAUAGAUAUAUUGUGCUUAACUUUGGUAACUUUUGAUAGCAAUAAGUAUUUGUAAGUAAACUUCUAAACCAUAUCAUUUUGUGAAGUUCUACGUACAGGUCAUGAUUACAACCAUCUCCUUGUGUUGUCCUUAAGCAUAUGUAGGAAUAAUGAAUUCAAAUGGCUUCCUCCACAACUUCGUGAUAAACAAAAUUCUCGAAUAGCUUCAAAAAUGAGAAACAUCGUUGUGUAGAUUUUUAUGAGCAUUGCCAUAAAAUUGUAAGUGAUUGUGAUUCUAAAAUAGAUUGACUGGUCAUAACUUACAGAGGAUAAGUGAUGUUCGACUGACUUUUCACUCUAGGUAGGGUCACAAACUCCCCAAUGAACAAAUCCUCCUCAUCAAUUACAUCUACAACUAGUUAAGGUUGAUCACUAGCUUGAUUUUCUACCAUUGCCUCUUCUUGAUCUAUUUUCAUUGCCUCUAUCUUCUAUGUUAUCUGAAAGCUCUUGGGAUCAAAGUAAGAAAUUCAAGAUUUUUCUAAUCUUGCAUAUAUAAAUGUGCAAGUGCACAAAAAGAUAAAAAAGAAAAAAGAAAAAGGAAAAAGGAAGCAAGAUAGAAUAUUAAAAAAAUAAUAUCUAUAUAAUAACAAAAAAAUUAAAUCUAAUUUCGAAAUAAAAAAGUUCAAACUGAAAAUCUUAAAUAUAUGGCUAUGGUUUCAAAACCAUAUUAGGUAAAAUCUCGCAAGUGUAAGACAUUGUUGACAAGUAAUAGUAUAAAAUGUGUACGAAUAUCAUUCACAAGAGGAUUUAGACUUCAGCUUCAAUUUUAUCAAUUCACACUCAAAUAUAAAUCGUUAAGAUUUUAUUCUAUUCAUAAUUCUUUAGAGAAAAGGACUAAUAUGAAAAGUUGUAAAAGUUAAGAAGUCAGUUGAAAUGUUGUAUAGGUGAAAUAGGUAAACUAGGUUCGAGUUUGGAGCAAAGAGGAAAGUGCCGUUGGAUUUAUGUUUGCCUAUAGCCCAUUUGAUACUCAAGCGGAAAAUACAGAAACACUGUCACCUAGGUCUCACUCAAAUGACACACUAGUCACUUGCCUAUCGCUAGCCAGAAGCUUGAGCGACGAUAUUACACGUAAAACCCUAGUUCAUAUUUUUUCAAGAGUUUUAUCUAGCCUAUGCUACGUAAUUGCCUUCUACAAAUAUACUAAAGAUCUAAUACAUUUUUGGUGUGGUUGUUCAUUACAUUACUUCUAGUCAACAUCUUUCCAGGGUUUAAGAACUCAUUCAAGCCUUAGAUUAAUCCUUUGAUUCUUGAGUUCAUUCAAACACAACUUUGGAAAAAACAUCAAAUUCAUAUAAUCUAAAACACCCACUUCCUAUAUACAUACAAGAAGGUACUUUGUCAAGAACUUUCAGAGUUACUGAAGAUUGAGGGAAAUUGGACCAGAAGCAUAGAAAGAGUACAAAAACAAGGCGUUCUUGGCAAUCUAUAGGAGAUAGACAAUUCCAUAAGAUUUGGAAUAGUUAUGAGUAAAGCGCAUUUCAAUGGGUCUUGAAGAUUGUAGGAAUUAGACCAACGAGUCUAGUAGAUUUUCUAGGCUCGAUCGUACUGUAAGUUAUUGUCUGUAUUGGAGGUUACUAACUUGGUUCUUGAAGUUUUUACCCAAUUGGAUUUCUCUGUCAACAAUUUUUGUGUUCUUUAUUAUUUUUAUAUUACAAAUUGUGGCAGUUCAAUAUAUGAUACACUGACUUGAUUGACUACUAUACAUCUUAAACAAUUAAUAAGUGACUUGUUGUCAUUAAUUGAUUAUUUUAGAUUCGUAGUUUUCACCUAUUCACGCCUCUCUAGGUGACUUUAGGGUCAAACUAAUAACUUUUCAUGUGAUAUCAGAACUUUUCAAAUAGUAUCAGAGCCAAAAUUUGAUUUGUGACCCUAGGUAUUCUAGAUGAGGAGUUCAUUAUGUGUCUCUCCAUAUUUUGAUAGCAGUAACUACGCUUAUUAGAAAGUUAAAAUAAGAGCCUUCCUAAAACCAAUGGAUGAGCAUAUUUGGUUAACGUAGUGAAAGGUUGAACAGUCCAUUAUAGCAUCAUUAAUGGCGCAUCAUCCUCAUUCAUAUUGCUAAUUGGUCGAAAUCUAACUUAGAUGAGUGCAAUUGAAAUAGUAAAGCCCUACAUGCUUUAUUUAUGGUAGUGUCUCCUGGAAAAUUUAGGCAAGUAUCUAUGUGUGAGGUUGUGAAAGAGGUUUGGAAUAUUUUACAAACUACACAUGAGGGAGCCCUGGCUAUUAAGAAUUCCAAGUUACAGAUGUUGUCCACUAGAUUCGAAGAUAUUAGAAUGAAAGAGGAUGAGACAAUCGAUGACUUCUAUGUGAGCUUGAAUAACUUAGUUAAUUCUAGCUUCAACCUAGGUGAAGAAUUCUUGAGUCUAAGAUUGUCAGAAAAAUUUAUAAAUCCUUAUCUAAGAGAUUUAGGCCUAAAAUCAUGGCUAUAAAGAAGAGUAAAGACAUAGAUACUAUUAAGGUUGAAGAGUUGGUUGAAUGUAACGCCCUGAAAAUAUUAUAAAAUAAGAUUUCUAUGUUCUAUAUACUAUAUUUUUAUAUUAGAAAUUGAGGGACUAAAGUGAAAUGUGUUUCAAGGUCGUUACUUUAAUCGAUAGAAUAAUCAAGCAUUAAUUUAAUGAGAAUUUCCCAAUCAAAAUUAGACUAGUUUUGAAGCUUAUAUUAAAUGGCGAAUUUUAGACUCGAGAAAAAAUUACAUUGUAUAUGUUAGGCUCUCGUUUUUGUAGCUCAAGGAAAUACAUAUUUAACUAAUAUUUAAUUUGGCAUGUUCACAGGUUGGCCACCACGUGUUAGUAGACAUAAAAAUUGAAGUUUUGAUUUAAUUUAAAAUGUUUUGAAUUAGUAAUUUGCCUUCCAUUUAAAUUAUGUGCAAAACCCAGUCAACCAUUUGCACUUCCAUCACUUGAAAUUAUUCCACAAUUGGGGACCUUAAAUUAAGAAAAUUUCACUACCAUAAAAGUAACCACCAAUUUUUCAGUAAUGAGAUGCUAAUUUUCAUUAAUGGAAUUGACAAACAUUUUUGGCAGACCAAAUCAUUUAGCAUCUAAUUUGGAAAGACAUAGUCACGUUUCCUUUGUUUUUUUUUUUUUUUUUUUUUUUUUUUUUCCUUUAUAAGAAAUUGUAUAUGUAAUUUACUACCUCAUUCACGCCUGGGCAAUUACAGAAGAAAGGAGAGGCCUUUUUCAGAUUCAAUAUUUGAAAAGAAUUAUGAUAUAUUUUACUAAAUCAAUCACGUGUAUACACAUGGUAGCAGCAAAAAAAAAUUGUGGAGUGUGAAAAUUAUUUAAAUCCUUUUCAUCAAUCAAAGUUGGAUUUCGAGGUGCAAGUGAUUAGUCACGUUUAAAAUUAUUUCUUCAUGUUGAUAAAUAUUAUGCUUAUGAAAGUUAUGAUAUGAUAUGGUCAUCCGAUACCAAAGAUAUGAUAUGUAUUGAGUUCUACCGGUUUCUAAGAUAUGAUAUGAUGGUAUGAUAUAUCUGAUGCAUGAUCUAAAUACUUUAAUUCGGGAUUGCAUUUUUAUUCGUGUCCUAUUGAGUAUUCCCAUAUACUCAUCCUUUUACCUAUUCUUACAGGUUUGAAUGGGUCAUUGGUUGACGGGCAAUGAGAUGCAGUCGUUGUUGCCAGGAAAUUUAGAAUUAAAUUAUUAAAUCCAACGUAACGUGGCAAAACUUUUUGAUUCCGACAUUUUAUUUUCUUGUUAAUAAAUGUGAUAUAUGUGAUUUUUGUGUUAAUUUGGAUAUAUUUUAUUUUAGCUAUG
rnacentral:lncRNA from 1 species